AAACAUGUUGCACCUAUUCCACGCACGGAAGGAUGGAUCAAAAUAAUAUGUGGGAACUUGGAUAAAACCAUCAACAAAAUCGAACUUCAGUUUACCACCAAGAGUGCGACGCAUUGAUCUUGCCCAAGAAUGGUAAUUAGAAUCUUCAAGAUCUGGUGUAACUUUGACUGAGGAAGGUCCAUCAUUUGGAUGAGCGUAAUAGGGAUUGGUUGGAUCAGAAGUUGGUUUCGGUGGAGGAGGUCGUGGCAGAGCC
rnacentral:lncRNA from 1 species